AUUACUAAUCUCAUGAUAUCAUUAAUGCUUAUUAGCAGCUAUAAAAGCACCAUUCUUAAUCACAAUUCUUGGCAUGGAUAUAUUCCAAAUUACUACAUUCUAGGACCUUUUAAAAUCUUUUGUAAAUUUUUAGAACCUUCUAGAUACUUGUAGAAUCUUUUAAAAUCUUUUAGAAAGUUCCAUAGGCUUCUAGAAGUCCCUUUAGACUUCUAAAAGCUUCUUUAGAUAUUUAGAAACUUCCAUAGAAAGUACCAUAGACCUCUAUAAUCUUCAUCAUAGUAUAAAUAGAAGUCUUUUGAACUUCUUUUGCUAUCAAUUUCAUUCUUUGUCUUUAAUCUUGAUAUAUUUAUUUGUGAGAUAUUUUUGUCCUUAACAAUUCCUUAAACAACUAUAAGAUCCAU
rnacentral:lncRNA from 1 species